GGGAGCUCUCCUUUUAUAGGCACAAAGAUUGAAUCAUAUUCAAUCAUAUAAUACAAGUCCUACUUGCAUUAGGAUUCCUAUUAACUUAAGUUAUCCAACUUACAUUAGGAAGCCCAUUAGGCGCCAACUAUUGGAGCCCUUGCAUCCAUAAUUAAAUACCCUAUUUUGCACCCAAGAGACACCCCAUAUGAGAACUAAAGACCCUCUAAUCAAUGGACACACUCAAAUUGAACAAUUCAAAGUGGCACCCCAUAAUAACUAUCAAGG
rnacentral:lncRNA from 1 species